UCUCAAAAAACAGAUAGAACAAAAAUAUAAAAUUUUUGGAUCAUGACUACUGAGCCGACCAAGUGAUAACUUAGCCGACCCAGAAAUCAACUGAGCCGACCCAGACAGAGAUUAAGCCGACCAAGUCGUAGAGAAGCAGCAAAACAUAGAAAAAUCAUUUUUCAGUCACCUAAUACUUAGCCGACUAAAAGGAUUUUGAGUUGACCCAGCGAAGGAC
rnacentral:lncRNA from 1 species